rnacentral:rRNA from 1 species
UAGGGAAUCUUCGGCAAUGGACGAAAGUCUGACCGAGCAACGCCGCGUGAGUGAAGAAGGUUUUCGGAUCGUAAAACUCUGUUGUUAGAGAAGAACAAGGACGUUAGUAACUGAACGUCCCCUGACGGUAUCUAACCAGAAAGCCACGGCUAACUACGUGCCAGCAGCCGCGGUAAUACGUAGGUGGCAAGCGUUGUCCGGAUUUAUUGGGCGUAAAGCGAGCGCAGGCGGUUUCUUAAGUCUGAUGUGAAAGCCCCCGGCUCAACCGGGGAGGGUCAUUGGAAACUGGGAGACUUGAGUGCAGAAGAGGGGAGUGGAAUUCCAUGUGUAGCGGUGAAGUGCGUAGAUAUAUGGAGGAACACCAGUGGCGAAGGCGGCUCUCUGGUCUGUAACUGACGCUGAGGCUCGAAAGCGUGGGGAGCAAACAGG